CAUGCAAGUCGAACGAUGAAGCCCAGCUUGCUGGGUGGAUUAGUGGCGAACGGGUGAGUAACACGUGAGUAACCUGCCCUUGACUCUGGGAUAAGCGUUGGAAACGACGUCUAAUACCGGAUACGAGCUUCCACCGCAUGGUGAGUUGCUGGAAAGAAUUUUGGUCAAGGAUGGACUCGCGGCCUAUCAGCUUGUUGGUGAGGUAACGGCUCACCAAGGCGACGACGGGUAGCCGGCCUGAGAGGGUGACCGGCCACACUGGGACUGAGACACGGCCCAGACUCCUACGGGAGGCAGCAGUGGGGAAUAUUGCACAAUGGGCGAAAGCCUGAUGCAGCAACGCCGCGUGAGGGACGACGGCCUUCGGGUUGUAAACCUCUUUUAGCAGGGAAGAAGCGAAAGUGACGGUACCUGCAGAAAAAGCACCGGCUAACUACGUGCCAGCAGCCGCGGUAAUACGUAGGGUGCAAGCGUUGUCCGGAAUUAUUGGGCGUAAAGAGCUCGUAGGCGGUUUGUCGCGUCUGCUGUGAAAUCCCGAGGCUCAACCUCGGGUCUGCAGUGGGUACGGGCAGACUAGAGUGCGGUAGGGGAGAUUGGAAUUCCUGGUGUAGCGGUGGAAUGCGCAGAUAUCAGGAGGAACACCGAUGGCGAAGGCAGAUCUCUGGGCCGCUACUGACGCUGAGGAGCGAAAGGGUGGGGAGCAAACAGGCUUAGAUACCCUGGUAGUCCACCCCGUAAACGUUGGGCGCUAGAUGUGGGGACCAUUCCACGGUUUCCGUGUCGUAGCUAACGCAUUAAGCGCCCCGCCUGGGGAGUACGGCCGCAAGGCUAAAACUCAAAGGAAUUGACGGGGGCCCGCACAAGCGGCGGAGCAUGCGGAUUAAUUCGAUGCAACGCGAAGAACCUUACCAAGGCUUGACAUAUACGAGAACGGGCCAGAAAUGGUCAACUCUUUGGACACUCGUAAACAGGUGGUGCAUGGUUGUCGUCAGCUCGUGUCGUGAGAUGUUGGGUUAAGUCCCGCAACGAGCGCAACCCUCGUUCUAUGUUGCCAGCACGUCAUGGUGGGAACUCAUGGGAUACUGCCGGGGUCAACUCGGAGGAAGGUGGGGACGACGUCAAAUCAUCAUGCCCCUUAUGUCUUGGGCUUCACGCAUGCUACAAUGGCCAGUACAAAGGGCUGCAAUACCGUAAGGUGGAGCGAAUCCCAAAAAGCUGGUCCCAGUUCGGAUUGAGGUCUGCAACUCGACCUCAUGAAGUCGGAGUCGCUAGUAAUCGCAGAUCAGCAACGCUGCGGUGAAUACGUUCCCGGGCCUUGUACACACCGCCCGUCAAGUCAUGAAAGUCGGUAACACCCGAAGCGCAGUGGCCUAACCGCCAAGGAUGGAGCUGUCUAAGGUGG
rnacentral:rRNA from 1 species